rnacentral:rRNA from 1 species
UACGUAGGGGGCUAGCGUUGUCCGGAAUCAUUGGGCGUAAAGAGCGUGUAGGCGGCCCGGUAAGUCCGCUGUGAAAGUCGGGGGGCUCAACCCUCGAAUGCCGGUGGAUACUGUCGGGCUAGAGUGCGGAAGAGGCGAGUGGAAUUCCUGGUGUAGCGGUGAAAUGCGCAGAUAUCAGGAGGAACACCGAUUGCGAAGGCAGCUCGCUGGGACGUUACUGACGCUGAGACGCGAAAGCGUGGGGAGCAAACAGG